GUGGGAUGUCUCUCCCUCCCCCACUCUCUGUUUCCCUUUCUUUUUUGUCCCCUCUCUCCAGGGCUCCUGAUUUCUCUUCAGCCUGACGCUCUUUUCAGUUAACUGCAAGGCGGUGCACCCAAGUCCGAUGGUGUCCUACCUGGUGACCUCCUACCUGUGCUGGGACGCCAGCGACUUGAGGCUGCACUCCGGAGCCGUGUCCUACCUAAGCCCAGUGGGCAUGUGAAGCAGAGGGCAGCCCUUGAAUGCGCGGCGGCUGAGCUACCGCGGGUGGGCCGUGCAGCAGGGCGCAGCGAGGCGGACAUCCAAACAGCGGAACUCAGACACUGACUCCGAGCACACCCCGGGCCUUCCCAUUUCAUACACCCUCGAGGAUGAGACCCAAGCACCUCCAAGGAAUAGCACCCGAGGUCUUCAGGACACCGACCGGUAGCCAUGGCCAGAUGCCCGGCCAACCCCUUCAGCGUGGUCACGCCCCGGAUAUUCGACCUCCCCUGAGGCCCCACCCCCUGAUAUCAGGCCACGCCCUCCGAGGGGACCGGUGGCAAACUCCAACCCUCGCUCUAGGGCCCGCCCUUUGCGGCUUUAUCCCUGCCCACUGGGUCCUCACAGUACCUCCACCCCAGAAGUCCAGCAUCCCCUCCCGUUCUGCAGACACUUGUCCAGCGUCCCGCUGAGCUUGGCAGUGUGGCUAGUUUGUGUGGCCCUGCCCCUGGUGCCCAGCCUUCGCAGGCCACACCCUGAAGCCACUCUCCACCCCCUCAGCCAGGGUGGUCUGCAUGGAACUUCUUUCCCGGAGUUCCAGCCUCAGCUCCGAUGUCCACCCUUGUCCCCAGGUGGACACAGCACCGCCCAGCAUUUGGUGCAACUCCACCCUUCUGCGGAACGGGCCCCUCCCUGGGAAGGCAUGGCUUGCAAUAACAUCCCUCUGUACCUUUUCUGGCUUCCCCGCCACAAUAAAACCUCUCAGCCUCAGA
rnacentral:lncRNA from 1 species